GACGGGGGGGGCAAGUGUUCUUCGGAAUGACUGGGCGUAAAGCGCGUGUAGGCUGUUCGGAAAGUCGGAUGUGAAAGCCCUGGGCUCAACCCAGGAAGUGCAUUCGAAACUCCCGAACUCGAGUCCUGGAGAGGAAGGCGGAAUUCUCGGUGUAGAGGUGAAAUUCGUAGAUAUCGGGAGGAACACCAGUGGCGAAGGCGACUACCUGGCCUGUUCUUGACGCUGAGGCGCGAAAGCUAGGGGAGCAAACGGG
rnacentral:rRNA from 1 species